AACUUUCAACAACGGAUCUCUUGGCUCUCGCAUCGAUGAAGAACGCAGCGAAAUGCGAUACGUAAUGUGAAUUGCAGAAUUCAGUGAAUCAUCGAAUCUUUGAACGCACAUUGCGCCCUCUGGCAUUCCUCAGGGCAUGCCUGUUCGAGCGUC
rnacentral:rRNA from 1 species